rnacentral:rRNA from 1 species
UACGGAGGGUGCGAGCGUUUGUCCGGAAUCAUUGGGCGUAAAGGGCGCGUAGGUGGCCCGGUCAGUCAGUGGUGAAAGCGCGGGGCUCAACUCCGCGUCGGCCAUUGAUACUGCUGGGCUGGAGCACUGUAGAGGCAGGCGGAAUUCCGGGGUGUAGCGGUGGAAUGGCGUAGAGAUCCGGAAGAACACCGGUGGCGAAGGCGGCCUGCUGGGCAGUUGCUGACACUGAGGCGCGACAGCGUGGGGAGCAAACAGG